UACGUAGGGGGCAAGCGUGUCCGGAUUUAUUGGGCGUAAAGAGCGUGUAGGCGGCCAAGCAGGUCCGCUGUGAAAACUCGAGGCUCAACCUCGAGACGUCGGUGGAAACCGUUUGGCUAGAGUCCGGAAGAGGAGAGUGGGAAUUCCCGGUGUAGCGGUGAAAUGCGCAGAUAUCGGGAAGAACACCCGUGGCGAAGGCGGCUCUCUGGGACGGUACUGACGCUGAGACGCGAAAGCGUGGGGAGCGAACAGG
rnacentral:rRNA from 1 species